rnacentral:rRNA from 1 species
UGGGGAAUAUUGCACAAUGGAGGGAACUCUGAUGCAGCGACGCCGCGUGAACGAAGAAGGCUUUCGAGUCGUAAAGUUCUUUUAUAUGGGAAGAUAAUGACGGUACCAAAGAAAAAGCCCCGGCUAACUACGUGCCAGCAGCCGCGGUAAUACGUAGGGGGCUAGCGUUGUCCGGAAUCACUGGGCGUAAAGGGUUCGCAGGCGGAAAUGCAAGUCAGGUGUAAAAGGCAGUAGCUUAACUACUGUAAGCAUUUGAAACUGCAUAUCUUGAGAAGAGUAGAGGUAAGUGGAAUUUUUAGUGUAGCGGUGAAAUGCGUAGAUAUUAAAAAGAAUACCGGUGGCGAAGGCGACUUACUGGGCUCAUUCUGACGCUGAGGAACGAAAGCGUGGGUAGCAAACAGG